GACGAACGCUGGCGGCGUGCUUAACACAUGCAAGUCGAACGGUAAGGCCCUUCGGGGUACACGAGUGGCGAACGGGUGAGUAACACGUGGGUGAUCUGCCCUGCACUUCGGGAUAAGCCUGGGAAACUGGGUCUAAUACCGGAUAGGACCACUGCCUGCAUGGGUGGUGGUGGAAAGCUGUUGCGGUGUGGGAUGGGCCCGCGGCCUAUCAGCUGGUUGGUGGGGGGAUGGCCUACCAGGGGGAAGACGGGUAGCCGGCCGGAGAGGGUGACCGGCCACACUGGGACUGAGAUACGGCCCAGACUCCUACGGGAGGCAGCAGUGGGGAAUAUUGCACAAUGGGCGCAAGCCUGAUGCAGCGACGCCGCGUGAGGGAUGACGGCCUUCGGGUUGUAAACCUCUUUCAGCACCGACGAAGCGCAAGUGACGGUAGGUGCAGAAGAAGGACCGGCCAACUACGUGCCAGCCGCCGCAGUAA
rnacentral:rRNA from 1 species